UAAUACGUAGGGGGCGAGCGUUGUCCGGAAUUACUGGGCGUAAAGGGUGCGUAGGUGGCCUUUUAAGUUGGAUGUGAAAUCCCCGGGCUUAACUUGGGUGGUGCAUCUAAUACUGGAGGGCUAGAGUGCAGGAGAGGGAAGCGGAAUUCCUAGUGUAGCGGUGAAAUGCGUAGAUAUUAGGAGGAACACCAGUGGCGAAGGCGGCUUUCUGGACUGUAACUGACACUGAGGCACGAAAGCGUGGGGAGCAAACAGG
rnacentral:rRNA from 1 species